AUGUCCGCGGCCUUGCUGCGGCGGGGCCUGGAGCUGCUGGCGGCGUCCGAGGGUGAGGAGGGCUGGCCAGGGGACGUCCGGCGCGGGCAGGAGGAUGGCAGUGGCUGCGGGCGGGAGCCCUGGAUGGAAAACAAUCCAGGCCGGGCUUAGCCCCAGUGGCACGGGAACGCUGCGCGCCCUCUGACCUGGGUCUCUUCCUCCCUUCCCCUACAGCCCCCCGGGACCCUCCAGGUCAGGCCAAGCCGAGAGGGGCUCCGGUGAAACGGCCCCGGAAGACGAAGGCAAUUCAGGCCCAGAAACUGCGGAACUCGGCCAAGGGAAAGGUCCCCAAGUCGGCACUGGACGAGUACCGGAAGCGAGAGUGUAAAGACCACCUCAGAGUAAACCUGAAGUUUCUGACCAGGACGAGAAGCACCGUGGCUGAGUCUGUGAGCCAGCAGAUUUUGCGCCAGAACCGGGGCCGCAAGGCCUGUGACCGGCCUGUGGCCAAGACCAAGAAGAAGAAGGCUGAGGGCACCGUGUUCACCGAGGAAGACUUCCAGAAGUUCCAGCAGGAAUACUUCGGCAGCUAGGCUCCCUGGAGGGCACAGUGAAGAGGCCUUCAAGCCCCGCAGCCUCCGACUCCUCUGCUGGCUCCAGGAACCGGCCGUGCAGCGCGGCCAGCAGAUGGCGAUGCAGGACCAGCCUGGCUCGAGGAAGCCGCGGAGCUGGAGUCCAGUGGAGGCUGGAAUGGAGCUGGUGGGCCGGAAGUCCUGGGGAGGAUUUACACACAGACCGGAGCUGGCUUCCGCAGGCCUGGGCAGAGCAUCUGCACCUGUCUGUUUUGUUUGCUUUUGCC
rnacentral:sRNA from 1 species